AACAGAGUAGGAAAUAAAGCGUCAAGUGCUGAAAGGAUGGGAUGUUGCCUUUCGGACGAAGUAUGAGGUAAAAGAAGCACGAGCUGGCUUUUCUAAUCAUACGCGGUUUUGUUUUCGCAUUCGCUGCA
rnacentral:ncRNA from 2 species